CAAGGAUAAUAACGCAUAAAAAGAAUAAAAAAAAAAAAUCCAUUAUAUAUAUAAUACCUACCUGCAACACUCAUGCUAUUUAUAUCUGUAAAACUUAGCUUUUUCUCAUCGUUUAUACCAUUAGGUGUUUACUAUUUUGCACUUGUAUCGUCUGUUAGAGUUAGGUAUCAAGUGUUGUUUGUUUAAACUAUAGCAAAUUUAAACUUAGAGGCCGUUACUUUAAGUAAAUUCCAUAAGCUUUAGGCGAGGGUAUAAACCCUUUAUCGUUACUCAUGUCAGCAUUAUCACUUGGGUCAUCUAAUCUUAAGUCUUAAAAAGAAAAAAUCUGAGAUAUGCCCAAUGUUCCGCUACCCCAUAAAUAUUAUAUGUAACUUGUACAUAUAAAUAUUUAUGGACAAGGUCUCGGUAUAUUAUUUAGAUCCGUUAAAUUUUAGGUGCAUCUAACAAUACAUACAAAAAUGUAUAAAACCAGUGCUCUGUUACGAGGUCUUUAAAAAAUGGCCGCUCCUAAGCCCAUUUCCUGGUUGGCUUGGAUAAACACUACCUUAUUUUCACUUAACAAUAAUUUUGGAACCUGCGCACUA
rnacentral:rRNA from 1 species